rnacentral:rRNA from 1 species
AUUGAACGCUGGCGGCAGGCCUAACACAUGCAAGUCGAACGAGUGGCGGACGGGUGCGUAAGGUCUGGGAAACUGCCUGAUGGAGGGGGAUAACUACUGGAAACGGUAGCUAAUACCGCAUACCAUCAGAUGUGCCCAGAUGGGCUUAGCUAGUUGGUGGGGUAACGGCUCACCAAGGCGACGAUCCCUAGCUGGUCUGAGAGGAUGACCAGCCACACUGGAACUGCGACACGGUCCAGACUCCUACGGGAGGCAGCAGUGGGGAAUAUUGCACAAUGGGCGCAAGCCUGAUGCAGCCAUUCCGCGUGUAUGAAGAAGGCCUUCGGGUUGUAAAGUACUUUCAGCGGGGAGGCGUUAGCCGCAGAAGGAGCACCGGCUAACUCCGUGCCAGCAGCCGCGGUAAUUC